rnacentral:rRNA from 1 species
UACGGAGGGUGCAAGCGUUAUCCGGAUUUACUGGGCUUAAAGGGUGCGCAGGCGGUUUUGUAAGUCCGUGGUGAAAGCCCCGGGCUCAACCUGGGAAUUGCCGUUGAUACUGCCAGUCUUGAGUAUAGUUGAGGUGGGCGGAAUACAUCAUGUAGCGGUGAAAUGCUUAGAUAUGAUGUAGAACACCGAUGGCGAAGGCAGCUCACUGAACUAUAACUGACGCUCAGGCACGAAAGCGUGGGUAGCGAACAGG